UUUCCACAUCUCGGGCUCGCUGGAAAGGGGCUGGUGAAAUAACCGCAGGAGCCACCUUUGGGAAGCGGGACACAUCUGGGCCGCUUGGUUGCAGCCCAGUGACCUGCGGCAGAUUCGUGUUUUGCCAGAACUGGUUUCUUGCCUACAUAAUCCUGUUUUUGAUGAAACCAUGUUUUUAAGAAGCAAAGAAAGUCCCCAGUGAGUGGUGCUGAGUCCGCUCAUGGCUGUGGUUCCCCAGGGGCAUGCCAGACAGCAGGCAGCCCCACAGGAACGGCAAAGCCUCCAUCUGAUCUGCUGCCUCUCUCCAACAACAGACCUGAAAGGAGCACAGAGAGCGAUGUGGAUCUCCAGCACUCCCCAUGCGUGAUCCUCUCGGCUUGGCAAAAGGCAGCCCAAGGCCACUCCGAGGAGCUCUGGACGGACGAACAUGCCAUUAUGUACUUCGUGUGGCUGUCAUCUGGAGGCUG